rnacentral:rRNA from 1 species
AACGCUAGCUACAGGCUUAACACAUGCAAGUCGAGGGGCAGCAUGGUCUUAGCUUGCUAAGGCCGAUGGCGACCGGCGCACGGGUGAGUAACACGUAUCCAACCUGCCGUCUACUCUUGGACAGCCUUCUGAAAGGAAGAUUAAUACAAGAUGGCAUCAUGAGUCCGCAUGUUCACAUGAUUAAAGGUAUUCCGGUAGACGAUGGGGAUGCGUUCCAUUAGAUAGUAGGCGGGGUAACGGCCCACCUAGUCUUCGAUGGAUAGGGGUUCUGAGAGGAAGGUCCCCCACAUUGGAACUGAGACACGGUCCAAACUCCUACGGGAGGCAGCAGUGAGGAAUAUUGGUCAAUGGGCGAGAGCCUGAACCAGCCAAGUAGCGUGAAGGAUGACUGCCCUAUGGGUUGUAAACUUCUUUUAUAAAGGAAUAAAGUCGGGUAUGCAUACCCGUUUGCAUGUACUUUAUGAAUAAGGAUCGGCUAACUCCGUGCCAGCAGCCGCGGUAAUACGGAGGAUCCGAGCGUUAUCCGGAUUUAUUGGGUUUAAAGGGAGCGUAGAUGGAUGUCUAAGUCAGUUGUGAAAGUUUGCGGCUCAACCGUAAAAUUGCAGUUGAUACUGGAUAUCUUGAGUGCAGUUGAGGCAGGCGGAAUUCGUGGUGUAGCGGUGAAAUGCUUAGAUAUCACGAAGAACUCCGAUUG